rnacentral:rRNA from 1 species
GACGAACCGUGCGAACGUUGUUCGGAAUCACUGGGCUUAAAGGGCGCGUAGGCGGGCUGCCAAGUCCGGGGUGAAAUCUUUCGGCCCAACCGGAAAAGUGCCUUGGAUACUGGCGGCCUGGAGGGAGGCAGGGGCGGAUGGAACUUCCGGUGGAGCGGUGAAAUGCGUUGAUAUCUACAGGAACUCCGGUGGCGAAAGCGGCGCGCUGGACCUCUUCUGACGCUGAGGCGCGAAAGCUAGGGGAGCAAACGGG